UACAGAGGGUGCGAGCGUUAAUCAGAAUUACUGGGCGUAAAGCGCACGUAGGCGGCUUGGUAUGUCGGGGGUGAAAUCCCCGGGCUCAACCUGGGAACUGCAUCCGAAACUGCCUUGCUCGAGUAUGGGAGAGGGAAGUGGAAUUUCCGGUGUAGCGGUGAGAUGCGUAGAUAUCGGAAGGAACAUCAAUGGCGAAGGCGACUUCCUGGACCAAUACUGACGCUCAGGUGCGAAAGCGUGGGGAGCAAACAGG
rnacentral:rRNA from 1 species